rnacentral:tRNA from 1 species
UAGUUCAACUGGAUAGAGCGUCAGACUUCGAAUCUGAAUGUUGGGAGUUCGAGUCUCUC